rnacentral:misc_RNA from 1 species
UACGUAGGGCGCGAGCGUUAUCCGGAAUUAUUGGGCGUAAAGAGCUUGUAGGCGGUUUGUCGCGUCUGCUGUGAAAGCCCGGGGCUUAACCCCGGGUGUGCAGUGGGUACGGGCAGACUAGAGUGCAGUAGGGGAGACCGGAAUUCCUGGUGUAGCGGUGAAAUGCGCAGAUAUCAGGAGGAACACCGAUGGCGAAGGCAGGUCUCUGGGCUGUUACUGACGCUGAGAAGCGAAAGCUAGGGUCUCGAACCGG